UUGGGAAUCUUGCGCAAUGGGGGCAACCCUGACGCAGCGACGCCGCGUGCGGGAUGACGAUCUUCGGAUUGUAAACCGCUUUUCCCAGGGACGAUAAUGACGGUACCUGGGGAAUCAGCCCCGGCUAACUCCGUGCCAGCAGCCGCGGUAAGACGGAGGGGGCUAGCGUUGUCCGGAAUUACUGGGCGUAAAGCGCUCGUAGGCGGUCGUCUACGGCGGUGGUGAAAGCUCCCGGCUCAACUGGGAGAGGCCCGCCGCAACGGGACGACUCGAGGGUGGUAGAGGCAAAUGGAAUUCCUGGUGUAGCGGUGAAAUGCGUAGAGAUCAGGAGGAACACCCGUGGCGAAGGCGGUUUGCUGGGCCACACCUGACGCUGAGGAGCGAAAGCCAGGGGAGUGAACGGG
rnacentral:rRNA from 1 species